rnacentral:rRNA from 1 species
CCGGCGCACGGGUGAGUAACGCGUAUCCAACCUGCCUUACACUCUUGGACAGCCUUCUGAAAGGGAGAUUAAUCCAGGAUGGGAUCAUGAGUUCACAUGUCCGCAUGAUUAAAGGUAUUUUCCGGUAGACGAUGGGGAUGCGUUCCAUUAGAUAGUAGGCGGGGUAACGGCCCACCUAGUCAACGAUGGAUAGGGGUUCUGAGAGGAAGGUCCCCCACAUUGGAACUGAGACACGGUCCAA